UGAAAAAGCUCAAUAAAUGGGUACUGCAUGAGCUCAAAGAAAAUCAAAAAGUUUGGCUUUCUGAAGUGUACUCAAUGCUCUUUCUAUGAAAUACUUAUGAUC